UGAGGAGGAGAAAGAAAAAGAAGGAAGCCGUUCUUUCAACAGAAGCUGGUUUUUCCUCUUCAUUUGUCACAAGAGGAACAGAUUGAAAGUUUGUCAUUAGAAUCUCUCUUCCCCACCCACCUCCCAUUCAUUCAUCUGCAUAACUACUGAAAUUGUAUACAGUAGUUGGAUGAAUAUGCUGGAUGUUGGGGUGGUCUGAAUAUGCCAGCAUGUCAUAACUUUAAAAAAACAACAACACUCUCUACCAAAUAAUGAGCACCAACAAAACCUUUCUUGCCCCAAAAGAGAUGAAAUGCAUUUGAUUGCAAGUCGGAUCAGCAUCGGGCCCUUCCAUUACAAGUGGCUGCACACCUUGUGCUGUAUUAUGAGCUUAAAAUCCUCCUAACUUUGUCUUAUUCCAGUUGUCUGCUCUGUCCAACCUCUGCAACAACCUGUGAAUUUUGAAGCAAGCAGGUAGACGCAAAUGUCCAUGUAUUUCCGAGAUGCAACUAUGCAGUAUCUUUCUGUAUGUGGGUUCCACUCCUGUACAGAGUUUUGGCGCGGGGUUUUUGAACCCAAUUGCAAAACUCUGAAAACGGUAUAAUCCAGAGGAUAACCAUAUUUUCACACAACCUCCCACAUCGGUCAUAAGAUUAGAAAUGAGGCCCAAGCAAACAAAAUCUCGUCCCUUUUUUUCUUGCAGGCACCAGCCCAUUUGCCACAAGGACCCCUGGCUAUUCUGACUCUCCUGUUCUCCAAGCAAUCAGCAGAAUUUUGUCUGAAGAGCCAGACCUCUAGCAGAAGAUUUCCUCCGGGACUAUAUCACAACAUCGGUAUGUGGUGGUGCUGCGGGUUAAACCACAGAAGCCUCUGUGCUGCAAGGUCAGAAGACCAGCCAUCAUAAGAUCGAAUCCACACGACAGAGGGAGCUCCCGUCGCUUGUCCUACCGGCCUAGCUGUUCGAAAGCAUGCAAAAACGCGAGUAGAUAAAUAGGGUACCACCUUGGUGGGAAGGUCACAGCGUUCUGUGUGUAGUCGCGUUGGCCAUGUGACCAAGGAAAUGGUCUUUGAACAUAAUGCUGGCUCUACGGCUUGGAGAUGGGGAUAAGCACCGUGGCCUAGAGUCGGACACGACUGGACUAAGUGUCAAGGGGAACCUUUACCUACAGUAGUCCAGU
rnacentral:lncRNA from 1 species